rnacentral:lncRNA from 1 species
UGUUCACACUGCUACCGGAUGUAGUCAAAGUCAGUGGGAACUCGAACUUCCCGCUCCCGCCUGCUUGUGUCCUCAGCGGAUUGCUGACUGUUUGGAAUUGGGGCACAGCCAAGUAUGUCGGGACUACAUGGAACUGCACGAGCUCAACCUGCUGCUCAGACGAGAGCUGGUUCAAAGUCCCAGACUUGAGGCUCGAGAAGGCAUUGUCAUUCGGGGCGAAGAUGGUUAGGCCAUUGUUCGAGUUGUUAAGUUGCGCGUUGAUCUGUUUGUCGACUGAGGUGGCCCUCAUGAGCUUGAGCAGCACCGUAAAUUGGCUCGCCUUCUUGAGGACCUUCGUGAUGUCGGUUGGGCCUGCAGGAGCUGGGCCUAAGACAGGAGGAGCCGGGCCUAAGGCAGGCGUAGCAGGUGCAGCCGGGGCUAUCACAGGCGGAGCUGGGGCGGCCGCAGGCUGAGCCAAGGUGGUAGAGCAUUGGAAGAGCAGGACCAGUAGGAGCAGAAAUGACAGUCUCUUCAUCAUGUUUUUUGCUUUGCUCUUGGUAAGAGGGGGAUUGUGAAGAGAGGACAGUGAAGAAGUGGUACUUGAAGAAGGCUUUUGGUUGUGUGAGGAAAGAGGAGGGAGAGAGUGGCAAUUUAUUUGAAAUCUGGGAAAGAGAGUGGUGCUCAUCAAAGUGGGAGAAAAUGAAAUUAGGUGAGAGGUUCCAAUUUUUAGUUAGGGGAAUUCAGUAGUUAGCACCUCAAUGAUAAGUGUUGUGCGAAAAGCAAAAACAUGGAUGGAAUAAAUGGAGAGAGAGAGAGAGAGAGAGAGAGCCGGGGGAUCAUUCACUGUUACAGCAACUAGUUUGCUUGAGAAAGCAGGAAAAAUAGUAGAGGGAGAUCAAAUGGACAUGGC